rnacentral:rRNA from 1 species
UGGGGAAUAUUGCGCAAUGGGCGAAAGCCUGACGCAGCGACGCCGCGUGAGGGAUGACGGCCUUCGGGUUGUAAACCUCUUUCAGCAGGGACGAAUUCAGACGGUACCUGCAGAAGAAGCACCGGCCAACUACGUGCCAGCAGCCGCGGUAAUACGUAGGGUGCAAGCGUUGUCCGGAAUUAUUGGGCGUAAAGAGCUCGUAGGCGGUCUGUCGCGUCGGCUGUGAAAACUUGGGGCUCAACCCCAAGCCUGCAGUCGAUACGGGCAGACUAGAGUGUGGUAGGGGAGACUGGAAUUCCUGGUGUAGCGGUGAAAUGCGCAGAUAUCAGGAGGAACACCGGUGGCGAAGGCGGGUCUCUGGGCCAUAACUGACGCUGAGGAGCGAAAGCGUGGGGAGCGAACAGGAUUAGAUACCCUGGUAGUCCACGCCGUAAACGGUGGGUGCUAGGUGUGAGCGGUAUUCCACGCCGUUCGUGCCGCAGCUAACGCAUUAAGCACCCCGCCUGGGGAGUACGGCCGCAAGGCUA